rnacentral:snRNA from 1 species
GGAUGUGAGGGGGAUCUGGCUGUAACAUCUGUCACCCAAUUGAUCACCAGGAUUAAUUCAGCUGAUCUUGCUGGCUAGGCAGGUGUUCCCUCCGUCCCUCACUGCCCUCUAUGUGCAUCCCUCCUGAAGCUGUGUGCUCAGUUGAAGAGGAUGGCCUUCCCUGAAUGGAGACAGACCCAGAAAGCCAGCAAG